rnacentral:rRNA from 1 species
AACGAACGCUGGCGGCAGGCCUAACACAUGCAAGUCGAACGAGAAGCUAGACUUCGGUUUAGUGGAAAGUGGCGCACGGGUGAGUAACGCGUGGGGACCUACCUUUCGGUGGAGGAUAACUAUUGGAAACGAUAGCUAAUACUGCAUACGCCCCUUUGGUAACAUUGGGGAAAGAUUUAUCGCCGAUAGAUGGACCCGCGUCUGAUUAGCUAGUUGGUGAGGUAAUGGCUCACCAAGGCGACGAUCAGUAGCUGGUUUGAGAGGAUGAUCAGCCACACUGGGACUGAGACACGGCCCAG